AUGAACGCUGGCGGCGUGCCUCAUACAUGCAAGUCGAGCGAACGGACGAGAAGCUUGCUUUUCUGAUGUUAGCGGCGGACGGGUGAGUAACACGUGGAUAACCUACCUAUAAGACUGGGAUAACUUCGGGAAACCGGGGCUAAUACCGGAUAAUAUUUUGAACCGCAUGGUUCAAAAGUGAAAGACGGUCUUGCUGUCACUUAUAGAUGGAUCCGCGCUGCAUUAGCUAGUUGGUAAGGUAACGGCUUACCAAGGCAACGAUGCAUAGCCGACCUGAGAGGGUGAUCGGCCACACUGGAACUGAGACACGGUCCAGACUCCUACGGGAGGCAGCAGUAGGGAAUCUUCCGCAAUGGGCGAAAGCCUGACGGAGCAACGCCGCGUGAGUGAUGAAGGUCUUCGGAUCGUAAAACUCUGUUAUUAGGGAAGAACAUAUGUGUAAGUAACUGUGCACAUCUUGACGGUACCUAAUCAGAAAGCCACGGCUAACUACGUG
rnacentral:rRNA from 1 species